rnacentral:sRNA from 1 species
CGUACUAGGGACUGCCGAAGCUCUGGAAGAGGUGAAGGAGAAAGGGCGUCCCACGUAGACCCAGGACACCAGAGAGCGUCGCCACUACCAAGUUUAAAAACUCAGACGGCCUGGUUUGCCAUACACAUCCUGUUCCCAGUCCAGUCCUUCCAAAGGUGCUCCAAUAUUACCUCAAGGAUUAAAGCCUGAACAACAGCUACAGUUGUGGAAUGAGAUAGAUGAUGCUUGUUCGUCUUUUCUGUCCAUUGAUUCCCAGCCUCAGGCAUCCAACGCACUGGAGGAGCUUUGCUUUGUGAUUACGGGAAUGCUACCAAAGCCUCAGGAACAAGAUGAAAAAGAUAAUACUAAAAGGUCGUCUGUCGUGCAUCCUUUGCUGCAGCUCGUUCCUCACCUGCAUGAAAGAAGAAUGAAGAGAUUCAGAGUGGACGAAGAAUUCCAAAGUCCCUUUGCAAGUCAAAGUCGAGGAUAUUUUUUAUUCAGGCCACGGAAUGGAAGAAGGUCAGCAGGGUUCAUUUAAAAUGGAUGCCAGCUAAUUUUCCACAGAGCAAUGCUAUGGAAUACAAAAUGUACUGACAUUUUGUUUCUUCUGAAAAAAAUCCUUGCUAAAUACUCU